GACGAACGCUGGCGGCGUGCUUAACACAUGCAAGUCGAACGAAGUGGCGAACGGGUGAGUAACGCGUAUUCCACCUGCCCUUCAGAGGGGGACAACAGUUGGAAACGACUGCUAAUACCGCAUACUGAAGGAGGGGAUUGCGUCUGAUUAGCUAGUUGGCGGGGUAACGGCCCACCAAGGCGAUGAUCAGUAGGCGGUCUGAGAAGAUGAACGGCCACAUUGGGACUGAGACACGGCCCAGACUCCUACGGGAGGCAGCAGUGGGGAAUCUUCCGCAAUGGACGAAAGUCUGACGGAGCAACGCCGCGUGGGUGAUGACGGCCUUCGGGUUGUAAAGCUCUGUUAAUCGGGACGCGGUACCGGAAUAGAAAGCCACGGCUAACUACGUGCCAGCCGCCGCGGUAAUUC
rnacentral:rRNA from 1 species